ensembl:lincRNA
GAACACUUGGUGCAGGAAUCUUCUAAUUUUUUUUUGUUUUUGCAGUCUCUCCACCUACAAUAUACCAACUGGAAUUUCCCUUAUUUGAAAGAAAAUCUUCAGGGUAAAGAAGACAUUUACAAUGACACAAAAAGAUUCCAAAGGUAUCAUGGUCCUAAAGGGCUUUCCCCAAGGGACAGCACAGUGUGUUCCAGGCCCUGAUGAGAGUUCACUUCUGAAACAAGGCGAAGAAGAGCAGAACAAGCUGAGCUGGAAUGAAGACAAGAAUGCCUUUCCACAUCUGCCCAGUGACACAGAAACCCCAGGUACCCCAAGAGACCCAGGCAGAAGCAGAGCAGGCAGAACCUCACGCUCCUGUCAAACUAUGAAGAGUGGGGAAUGGCUGCAUCCUGAUGGCACUGGGGGAGGUCAUGGCACUUCCACCCUUAGCUUAACUUUAAUUAAAGCUCCUAUGGCUUGUGUGUUGAGGACUUUUACAGCAUAUAUGCCUUUCAUUGGUUGAAAAAAUAAAAUGGAUCACUUCAUAAAAAUGGAUCCUCCCUCUUCAAAGAUAAAUGGGCGUAGAAUAUGACAAACACGUAUGUCUUUGUGAAAGUGGGGUUUCUGGACAUCUGACAAUCAAAAAGUGGUUUCAGGGUAUGUGAGGGGAAAAUAAUUAGUGAAGACUUUCUUUCCUACCAAGUCUUCCAAGUUAUAGGUAAACUAUUUUAAGUAAUUUUGUUGUUUUUAAAUCUGUAAGUAAAAGAUACAAGGCUCUAAGAACGUAUAUAAGUCCAAAGGAUUUUUCAGUCAAAUAACUCUCUCAUCUCCUUCUUUUUUUCAAACUUAGAGUAAAAUUGAGUAAUAACAGUAUUUGACCAUAUCAGCUUCUCAGGCCUCCAGUGGUGCUCUGAAGUGUUUCCAAACUGUGGGCAAAGAUUGGAGAAAUGCUCCCUUAGGUCUACCAUGCAUGUCAUCAAGACUUAGAUUGGGUAUAUGAAAAGAGCUUUGUCCACAAACAAAUCAUCUGGUCAUUCCUUUUCCCGUUCUAAUGGUCCACCUCCCACUUUUACACCCAAGAUGAUUUACAGCAAUAACAUCCAUCACAGCAUUCUUUUUCAAAUGCAUUUGAGGCACAGAGACAUAGAUUUCUUCAAUUCCUUAAUAGAGAUGAUACAGAAAAGCAAGCUUGCCAGAAUGUCUCAUGAAAAAACAUAGGACAUAAAGACUGGAAACCAUCUUGUACUCUGUUCAUUUCCUGUAUCAUAAUUACAUAAAUUAUCUCUGGGGGCUGGAAAAACCAAUUCUUAUUUCUCCAGGACAGUUUUCCAAAUCACUAUGUGGACAGAUGGGACAGUUUCCCUUGUAAGUGAGAAACUGGCCAGGAGAGUAAUCAAUGCAUGUCUGCAGGGCUGUCCAGGGCUCCUGGUCCAUGUACAUGUGCACAGCCAACCUCAGUGGGGCCUGGCCUACACACCUGUUAAAUGGGCCAUCAGGUGCCACUGUGCCCACUGCACUGACCAUGAGACAUAAGGCCAAAAAGAUGAGUUCACACAUCCAAGUUUAUAUAAGCCAUUUAGAAAUGGAGCUGAGGACACUCAGUGCUGGGCUGUGUCCUCAUCAGCCAAAUGGAUCUUUGGAUAAGAUCACUACCUGGCUUUCCUCCAGAGGACUGCUGAGUUGAGAAUCUUGAACUUGAUUUACAAUAGAGCCUCCCGAGCCCUGCCUACCACCCUGUAUCUCACACAGCUAUUCAACUGCAGAAAAAGAAC